CAAUAAGCGGAGGAAAAGAAACCAACAGGGAUUGCCCCAGUAACGGCGAAGUGAAAGCGGCAACAGCUUCAAAUUUGAAAUCUGGCCCCCGCGGUCCGAGUUGUAAUUUGUAGAGGAKGCUUUUGGCGCGGUGCCUUCCGAGUUCCCUGGAACGGGACGCCAUAGAGGGUGAGAGCCCCGUCUGGUUGGACACCAAGCCUCUGUAAAGCUCCUUCGACGAGUCGAGUAGUUUGGGAAUGCUGCUCUAAAUGGGAGGUAUAUGUCUUCUAAAGCUAAAUACCGGCCAGAGACCGAUAGCGCACAAGUAGAGUGAUCGAAAGAUGAAAAGCACUUUGAAAAGAGGGUUAAAUAGUACGUGAAAUUGUUGAAAGGGAAGCGUUUGUGACCAGACUUGGGCCCGGUUAAUCAUCCAGCGUUCUCGCUGGUGCACUUUGCCGGCCCAGGCCAGCAUCAGUUCGCGCCGGGGGAUAAAGGUUUCGGGAACGUGGCUCCCUCGGGAGUGUUAUAGCCCGUUGCGCAAUACCCUGGUGCGGACUGAGGUUCGCGCUCCGCAAGGAUGCUGGCGUAAUGGUCAUCAGCGACCCGUCUUGAAACACGGACCAAGGAGUCGUCUUCGUAUGCGAGUGUUCGGGUGUCAAACCCCUACGCGUAAUGAAAGUGAACGCAGGUGAGAGCUUCGGCGCAUCAUCGACCGAUCCUGAUGUUCUCGGAUGGAUUUGAGUAAGAGCAUACGGGGCCGGACCCGAAAGAAGGUGAACUAUGCCUGUAUAGGGUGAAGCCAGAGGAAACUCUGGUGGAGGCUCGCAGCGGUUUCUGACGUGCAAAUCGAUCGUCAAAUAAUGGGCAUGGGGGGCGAAAGACUAAUCGAACCUUCUAGUAGCUGGUUCCGC
rnacentral:rRNA from 1 species